UACGGAGGAUGCAAGCGUUAUCCGGAAUGAUUGGGCGUAAAGCGUCCGCAGGUGGCAAUGUAAGUCUGCUGUCAAAGCGUCUGGCUCAACCAGAUAAAGGCAGUGGAAACUACAUAGCUAGAGUAAGGUAGGGGUAGAGGGAAUUCCCAGUGUAGCGGUGAAAUGCGUAGAGAUUGGGAAGAACAUCGGUGGCGAAAGCGCUCUACUGGACCUCAUCGGACACUCAGGGACGAAAGCUAGGGGAGCGAAUGGG
rnacentral:rRNA from 1 species